GCAAGUCCAGAGGAGCUGACCCAGGGACAAAGUUACCUGCAGUAGUGGACAAGUGUACUCGGGGCACCCUCCUCCAACCCUUCUGUUUGUCCCUUACCUUGGUUGGAGACGUGACUGCAGUCGCCGGUCCAAGCCGUUAGCAGGGGCAAGAAGAAACCAAAUUGCAAAAGAAAUUCCCGGACUUCGCAGCCCCCCAUGGCUCUGGUGUAACGAUGUGCUCUCAGCUCUGGACACCACCUUUCCCUUGGAGACAUUUCUGCUACCAGAAAGGGUGAGGGUUGCAGGUCAGCGCUCCUGGCCCCGGGGCACAGCUUGGCGAAGGAAGCUCAGAAUCCAAAAGAGUAAUGAAACGUGCAAGUGGGAACCACAGGGGCUAUAUUGUUCAGAAUUCUUUUGUAUUCCUUCAGAACAUUGUUCUUCAAGAUAUAUGGGAUCGGGUUUCAGGUAAAGUACAAGAAAACAUGUAGAGGCUCAGAAGUACCAAACAGAACCCUGGUGACAAAAAUUCUGAAAUAUUUUCAUAGAAGAAAUUUGGGACAAGCUCCUGCUUCUGAGAUAUAUCUCGAGUUCACUCUUCUUUGUCUAAUGCAUUAUGGACUUGGAUUAAUUAGAACAAAUAUGAUUUGCAUUGCCGAUCUCUAAAUACCUAAAAAGUAUACUUCAUAACUACUAUUGAAAUGAUAAUAUUGCUAAUAAACUUAUGCUUAUGUAUCUGUCCUUGUAAAAUCUAGAUUGCUUUGUUAUUUCUGGGGCAGCACACAAAGCUUUUCAAUAUUAUUUCAAGUUAUUUUUUUUUUUCAAUCAGCGGUUGCCUGUUUGACAUUUAGAAAAUGCUAGUUAAUGAUAUUUACUUUUAUUCGGUGAAAACAAAGUGGUUUUGACACAGCUGGUCAUUCUGGUGCUUGGGAGAUAAACUAAAUGACUUGUUACC
rnacentral:lncRNA from 1 species